AUGGCGCGAUCUCAGCUCACUGCAACCUCCGCCUCCUGGGUUCAAGCAAUUCUCGUGCCUCAGCCUCCCCAGUAGCUGGGAUUACAGGCACGUGCCACCACGCCCGGCUAAUUUUUUGUAUUUUUAGUAGAGAUGGAGUUUCACCAUGUUGGCCAGGCUGGUCUCGAAAUCCUGACCUCAGGUGAUCCACCCACCUCGGCCUCCCGAAGUGCUGGGAUUAUAGGUGUGAGCCAUCGCGCCCAGCCUUUGUAUUACUUCUUUUACCAGUAAGACAUUGUACCUCUCAGACUAUUGAUUUGAAAUGGGGGUGUGGAGGGGAUGAUGAUACUGGGAGAAAAGGGUGCUUUUGGAAAA
rnacentral:lncRNA from 1 species